rnacentral:rRNA from 1 species
AUUGAACGCUGGCGGCAGGCCUAACACAUGCAAGUCGAGCGGAUGAAGGGAGCUUGCUCUUGGAUUCAGCGGCGGACGGGUGAGUAAUGCCUAGGAAUCUGCCUGGUAGUGGGGGAUAACGUCCGGAAACGGGCGCUAAUACUGCAUACGUCCUGAGGGAGAAAGUGGGGGAUCUUCGGACCUCACGCUAUCAGAUGAGCCUAGGUCGGAUUAGCUAGUUGGUGGGGUAAAGGCCUACCAAGGCGACGAUCCGUAACUGGUCUGAGAGGAUGAUCAGUCACACUGGAACUGAGACACGGUCCAGACUCCUACGGGAGGCAGCAGUGGGGAAUAUUGGACAAUGGGCGAAAGCCUGAUCCAGCCAUGCCGCGUGUGUGAAGAAGGUCUUCGGAUUGUAAAGCACUUUAAGUUGGGAGGAAGGGCAGUAAGUUAAUACCUUGCUGUUUUGACGUUACCAACAGAAUAAGCACCGGCUAACUUCGUG